UGCAGUCGAGGGGUANAUGUCUUCGGAUAUAGAGACCGGCGCACGGGUGCGUAACGCGUAUGCAAUCUGCCUUUCACAGAGGGAUAGCCCAGAGAAAUUUGGAUUAAUACCUCAUAGUAUUAUCGGAUGGCAUCAUUUUAUUAUUAAAGUCACAACGGUGAAAGAUGAGCAUGCGUCCCAUUAGCUAGUUGGUAAGGUAACGGCUUACCAAGGCAACGAUGGGUAGGGGUCCUGAGAGGGAGAUCCCCCACACUGGUACUGAGACACGGACCAGACUCCUACGGGAGGCAGCAGUGAGGAAUAUUGGACAAUGGGCGCAAGCCUGAUCCAGCCAUGCCGCGUGCAGGAUGACGGUCCUAUGGAUUGUAAACUGCUUUUGUACGAGAAGAAACAUCCCGACGUGUCGGGACUUGACGGUAUCGUAAGAAUAAGGAUCGGCUAACUCCGUGCCAGCAGCCGCGGUAAUACGGAGGAUCCAAGCGUUAUCCGGAAUCAUUGGGUUUAAAGGGUCCGUAGGCGGUUUAGUAAGUCAGUGGUGAAAGCCCAUCGCUCAACGGUGGAACGGCCAUUGAUACUGCUGAACUUGAAUUAUUAGGAAGUAACUAGAAUAUGUAGUGUAGCGGUGAAAUGCUUAGAUAUUACAUGGAAUACCAAUUGCGAAGGCAGGUUACUACUAAUGGAUUGACGCUGAUGGACGAAAGCGUGGGGAGCGAACAGGAUUAGAUACCCUGGUAGUCCACGCCGUAAACGAUGGAUACUAGCUGUUGGGGGCAACUUCAGUGGCUAAGCGAAAGUGAUAAGUAUCCCACCUGGGGAGUACGUUCGCAAGAAUGAAACUCAAAGGAAUUGACGGGGGCCC
rnacentral:rRNA from 1 species